CCAUGUGAAAAUAUUAUACCACCCAGGGGCCAUUUUCGUGUGAAAACAAAUAUGCACCUCGCAAGGUGGGAGCAGGUUCCCGCCUCAAAAUAAGGUUAAAUAGGGGUUUUAAAUGCGUUUAGAAAGGAAAUAACUCCCCUCUGAUUCGGGAAACACCCUAGCGGCUCCACCCUCGCUGCUCUCCUCUGUCGCACCCCUCCCUGCAACUCUUUCUCUCUCUGAAACCCCAAUCGCUCGUGUUCUUCUGCAAUUUCUUCGCACCACCAAGGAAGAGAAUUGAUGCAUUUGAUGGGUCCGACAAUAAGCAGUGCACAGGGGGCAGGGAAAGAGGAGUAUCUGCACCAGGACUCUGCAAUCGACUCGUCAGAUGUUUAUGAGAGCGAUCGAUUCAUGGCCGGAAUACUCGGGCGACAAGAGGUGGCAGAACCUUUCGAUCAAAUGGACUCUUUUUGUUGUUAUUACGAGCAGGCAUUUUAUGACAUUUUUCCUUCCAAACUCCCAUUGUGACAGAUCUUCUAUGAAUCCUCUGUUGCUGAGCUUAUUGAUGGAUUCCUGGAGUAGGCCGAGAUGAAUUAUUGUUCUUGUUUUCACCCCACAAGAACUCAAAUUCCAAACAUUGAGGAUGUUGGUUGAACACAAAAUUUGUGCCCAUUGGACACCUGUGAUCAACAAAAACCAGUUGUGGCACAUUAAGAACAUUGAGUUAUUGUUUAUGCUUCUUCAGUAGUUGUUCAUUUUGUGGAGCCUGUGGAAAGUGGCUAGGUGAGUUUGUUAAUUUCAUGGAGUAUAAUCUGUCAAAGAUAUAGUAGUUGUUAAGAAUUUGAGGAUUUUUAACUGUGCUCUUACCUAAGUGGAAGUUCAUUUUUCGACCCUUUGGAAUCUGUUUUUAUGCUUGUCAUUCCACAGAUUAUCAAAAAAAUUUGCAAUUCACCUGUUUUGAUAUCUAUGGGAAAAUGAAAGGAAUACUACACGAAGAAAAUAAAGGCCUAUGAGCCAAAGAUUUAUGGUUGUUUAGUGUAGUUAUUUUUUGAAAGGGAUAUAGGAAUAAGGAAUAACAAUAAAUUUUGAAUCUGAUACUCCACGACAUGCUGACGGUUGCUGUUUCUUAUUAGGUUAUUUGUAGAUGCAAUCACAUUAUACUAUGCUGUACCCCUUUAUAUACUCGCUGGAGCAGUGGCAGUAAUGCUCUUAUGGGACUCUCCAACGUUAGCUUGAUUGAUUAGGUUUUGACAAUUGCAAUCUUACAUCCAAGGUUCAAGUCCCACGCUGACCUACCCAAAAUGGAACUCUCUCUCUCUCUCUUCUUCUCUCCUCUCUCUCUUGCUUGCUCUCUCUUGCUCGCUCUCUCUCUCUCGCUCGCUGGCUUGCUUUCACUCUCUCUCUCUCUCUCUCUCGCUCUCUCUCUCUCUGAAAGUCUCACAAGCAUGGACUGUGGUUCCCUGGCUGCCUUAAGCUCAACUUUUUAUUUUUAUAUUUAUUUUUUUGUGUAUGAAUCAUUACUCUUUAAAAUAGAAGGGAAAAGAUGUAUACCCCCUCUCUAAAAUUAUUAUCCCACAUACUCCCUUGUCCUAUAAAAAGCCAAAAGAACCCUCCAAGUUUAACCAAAAAGGACAUUUGACCCCCCCUCCUUUCCAUUUUUAUUGUCCAAAUUACAAAAUUUAUCCUUCUUUUUUAUAGUAACCUAUCAUCAUAAAAAUCAAGUUUGUGAUGCUUUUUUGAUGUAUUUGUGACAUUCACUAGAUGUUAUUCAGAGAAAGUUGCAAGAGAGAGAGGGAGGAAGGGGGCCACAAAUGAGGAAGAAAAACCAAAUAAGGGCUUUUCCAGGAUUUUGAUAAUAGGUUGUAAUUUAGACAAUGGAAAAGGUUAGAAGGGUUCAAACGUCUUUUCCUGUUUAACUUGGGCUGUUCCAUGGGAUAUUUAUAGGACCAGGGGGUUAUUUGGGAUUAUAACUUUAGAGAGGGGGGUUUAUGUCUUUUUCCCAACAUAUAAAGGCAAAGAGCAAAUGUUAUUCAAAACACUAAACCUUUAUGCCUAUGGAGUUUAAGGACCCAAUUGUUUGGGAAUCCUACAAUGUAAAUUAAUGUUGUAUGAAUUGGAUGCCAAAUAUGUUACUACGAUGUUUGGCAUUGCAUGAUUACUUGUUUUGCGUAAUGUUCACGAAACCUCAAAUGAUCUUAAAAAUUCCAACCAAUAUGGCAUGGCUUGUGAAUACUGUAUUACAAUCAAAUGAGACACGGCUAUAUUAGAAAAUCAAGAAUUAUUCUCGAGGGAAUGAGGUGUUAUGAGUACGUAAGGUUCUCAUUCUUUCAUGGAAUGAUCUGGGAUGAUGUAGACAUCAUUGACCUUCCAAUUGCAGAUUAAAUUUUUAUUGGUUAUGGAAAUGAAUCUAUUGCACCUUGUUAAGUGAUGAGUUUGAGACAAGAGUUUUAGACAAUCAAUAAAAGUUCCGGAGCCUGUAAGCAUUGAUUCUUCACUGCAUUCUCCUUCCUUUCUAAGUGGUAGGAGUUAAUACUGAUUGUUGCACUAUGCCCCAAGGAGAGGAUUCAUAUCGUAUAAAAAAAAAAAAACAAGCAUAGAAAAGAAUAUAGGGCCUGUCUCUGCCUAUACAACAAGUGUUGAUUGGAGGCCUAUUGAUUACUGGAGGCUUUUUCUAUUGUAGCCAUGUUAGAUACUCCUUCAAAGUUAUUCAACAUUUAUAUAUCCUCAAGCUCGUUGUAAACGGUGCAUACUUCAUGGGGAAUCAAACCAUGUUCAAGCUUGGAGUCCAUGAGGGUGGUUGGUUGGUGGGACAUGACCCUUAGAUUUGCCAAAUACUCGCUUUCCAAAACAUGGAAAAAGUUAUAGUUGUCUUGGAUGGAGAGGAGAUUAACAAUUUUUUUUUUUUCAAAUGUUGCUUGAUCAACUACUAGGUUACAAACCAUAAUGGAGUUUGCUCUACAACAAAUCAGAUACACCUAUAUUGCAACUGAUCAGCCAAGUAUAUCCAAGCGAUAGCUCCUGCACGUUGGAGUCCUUCCCCCCCUUUUUCAACAAUCAUUGUUCCUUUGACACUGUAAACAUGGUCAUUAAUGAUGCAUGCCCAUCCUUAAAUUUGACAUGAUGGCUGCAAUCCACCAUCUCCUAUGCUCAACUGCUAGCUGUCCUGGCCCAAAAAACAAACCCUUAGCGCCCAACACAAAAAAGAAAAAAAAGAAAAAAAAGGGAAAAACACACCAAUACUCUAAUGUCUUGCACUCACGACUGUUAGGAUAUAGUGCUCAUCCACUCCUCGCCUCCAUCUCAUCAUUGUCGGACGCCUUGCUUGCCCCAGCCUCUAUGCCCACCCCCUCAAUAGUGGUGGUAAUUUAACCUUAGGUUUAAUCUAUUGCAAGCUCAAUGCAACCAUCCGAACCUUAUAACUCCUCAGCUUAUUCACCUACCCCCUAUCCCUAUCGUACUAGUUCCAACAUGCACACCACCAUGCAUUCCCCAUGAUCUAAAUGCCUUGCCGCGUAAUCCUCGUGCAUCAAAUGGCCCUCCCUUUCCGCCAAAUGAAUGCGUCCUUUGAGGAAAUACAAAUGCCUCAUGGGAAGUUGUGAAGAUGACACGAACUCCAUUGCCACCAAGAGCCAAGGUACUUUAGGUGUGCAGCUUGUAGGAUCAUAAUUAAGAGUGGCAUUCAAUAACUUGGCAUGUUGAAAUCCCAACCCUAAACCCUUGGGUCAGUGUAAUCAUAGCCCCACGACCACAUGGAUGGAUGAGAACUUUUCCAUUUACUAACCCAAGAUAACUCAUCUAAGCAACUUCCCUUAAAUUUGACUUUUGGGCCACCGUCUAAUCCUUCCACUUCCUCCCACUACCCUUUGAUCUUCUGUCCGAGCCAUAGGUGGCAUGGUCGACAUGAUCCUACCCUAACAGAACUAAGUAAAUCAAGGCGAAGAGCUCGAACAUUACCGUGCUCAUCAACUCAUUGAAAGCCAGGACAAAAGGAAAGCAAGAAAAAGAAAAUAGAAGGAAGUUUUAGCUUGACUUCACUCAUUCUUAGCUUAACGAUUGAACUUGUUGUCUUAAACAUUGGUGGGGCGCGAGAGAACACGUGAAAGAGAAAGAUACUUGCAUAGAGCAAGGAAGCGAUUGAAGGUUGGGCAUUUCUGAAGCUCAAAAGGUGUGCGCCGAAAGAGCGUUUAGUGAAAUUGCUCUCUUUUUGCAUUGCUCUUACUAAGCAAGCUACCUUGCAUUCUAAAUCUCAAAGCCUAGCUAAAUGAAAAAAGCAACUCAGUGCGAAAUGAGAGUGGAAAGAAGAGGCAAAGAUGAGGGUAGGUAAGGUUCGUUGACUCGUUGAGCUGCUGCUGUGAUUGAGAAUACAAGGCUGCUUAGGUUAUACUCGAUGGAGCUAAGGUACGGAGAAGAAAGUAGCAACUACUUCUUAUAUUCUUGCUUCUCAUUGAGCAACAUGCUUACUAUUUGCUUCUAAUUUCUCUUACACCUCUCGUUUGAUUUGCUAGCACAACUUUGAAAGUAGAAGACAACGAACAACUAAAAGGAGAAGCAAGGUAUGAAGCUAUAGCUACAGCUACAAUAUACCUUAGUGUUAUGUUCCUAAGGUUUUUCUCAAUGUAAUGGAGAAGUGGAUGGAUGGACUACCUAAUUUUGCAUUUGAUAAAUUUUUCAUUUGGGUAUCGAACUGUUUUAACCUUGAGAUGUUGGAAGAAGCCCCAAAGCCAAUGUCAAACGCUCAGGUUUUUGUGGGAGAUUUGUUUAUGGGGAUGCGCUUGUGGUGUUAACUCCUCUUGCCCCAGGUUUUGCACAAAUCGAGUGAUCUUCUCUUUGCAAGACGUGUCUAUCAAUUGUUUCACAGCCCAAUGGUAGAGACAACAUGAGAGUAGCGCUCCAAACCUCCAAAAGAUGGCUAUACGGAUCGUGAGUUUGAUAACUACCUCAUCUGGUUGUGAGCGCAAUCGGAGUUCGUUUGAGAUGGUGCAUACAAGAGAAGAAAUACGUUUGGGCAAAAGAAGCUCAAUGACUUGAAUCAAAGGCUCAAAAAGAAGAAAAAUCAGCCAAAGAAGGACCCUAUCUCUUUGAAAGACAUGGAGAAUGCUUCAGAUUGGCUAGUUAGUGACUUUGGUACUGAGGAGGUCUUCCUUGGGGAGGGUUUGACAUGGGAAAUAGUCGAGGACGCUUUGUGGUAAGCUUCUGAUCUUAGGAGAGCCACUCGAGCAACUUCUUCUGCUGGUACUUCACGGAGGGAGAUAGAGGAAGAUGAGGCAGAUUCAGAAGAAUCUCUGGAAGAAGAGGAAUAUGUUGAAGAGGGUGAUGAGUCUGAUGAUAACGGCCUCAAUUCUGAUGCAGAUGAAAGCGAUGAAAAUGAUGACUCUGAUUUUUAUUGAUGUCUUGAUUGUCUUCUCUUUUAUUUUGAAGUAACUUUAAUACGUUAUUGCACCAUCUUGGUUUGGGCUUUAGACAUUUGGACAAUUUUUAUUUAGUUAUAUAGUUUGUAAUUUUUUUGCUUUUUUGGCCUAUUUCGUUGUGGUUUAUUGGUUUUUUUAUAGUUUUGGAAGUCAGUUUGUUGAUGACUUGGAGAGUUGUAGACUUGGAUGUUAUUAUGGUUUAUUUUAUAGAUAUAGAAUAUGGAGAA